AACGAACGCUGGCGGCAUGCCUAACACAUGCAAGUCGAACGAGACCUUCGGGUCUAGUGGCGCACGGGUGCGUACCGCGUGGGAACCUGCCCUUAGGUUCGGAAUAACUCCCCGAAAGGGGUGCUAAUACCGGAUAAUGUCUUCGGACCAAAGAUUUAUCGCCUUUGGAUGGGCCCGCGUUGGAUUAGCUAGUUGGUAGGGUAAAAGCCUACCAAGGCGACGAUCCAUAGCUGGUCUGAGAGGAUGAUCAGCCACACUGGGACUGAGACACGGCCCAGACUCCUACGGGAGGCAGCAGUGGGGAAUAUUGGACAAUGGGCGAAAGCCUGAUCAAGCAAUGCCGCGUGAGUGAUGAAGGCCUUAGGGUUGUAAAGCUCUUUUACCCGGGAUGAUAAUGACAGUACCGGGAGAAUAAGCUCCGGCUAACUCCGUG
rnacentral:rRNA from 1 species